CACCGCCCGUCACACCAUGGGAGUGGGCUGCACCAGAAGUAGAUAGCUUAACCUUCGGGAGGGCGUUUACCACGGUGUGGUUCAUGACUGGGGUGAAGUCGUAACAAGGUAGCCCUAGGGGAACCUGGGGCUGGAUCACCUCCUUACUGA
rnacentral:rRNA from 1 species